rnacentral:rRNA from 1 species
AGUGAACGCUGGCGGUAGGCCUAACACAUGCAAGUCGAACGGCAGCACAGUAAGAGCUUGCUCUUACGGGUGGCGAGUGGCGGACGGGUGAGGAAUACAUCGGAAUCUACUUUUUCGUGGGGGAUAACGUAGGGAAACUUACGCUAAUACCGCAUACGACCUACGGGUGAAAGCAGGGGAUCUUCGGGCCUUGCGCGAUUGAAUGAGCCGAUGUCGGAUUAGCUAGUUGGCGGGGUAAAGGCCCACCAAGGCGACGAUCCGUAGCUGGUCUGAGAGGAUGAUCAGCCACACUGGAACUGAGACACGGUCCAGACUCCUGCGGGAGGCAGCAGUGGGGAAUAUUGGACAAUGGGCGCAAGCCUGAUCCAGCCAUACCACGUGGGUGAAGAAGGCCUUCGGGUUGUAAAGCCCUUUUGUUGGGAAAGAAAAGCAGCAGGUUAAUACCCCGCUGUUCUGACGGUACCCAAAGAAUAAGCACCGGCUAACUUCGUG